UACGGGGGGGGCAAGCGUUGUUCGGAAUUACUGGGCGUAAAGGGCUCGUAGGUGGCCAACUAAGUCAGACGUGAAAUCCCUCGGCUCAACCGGGGAACUGCAUCUGAUACUGGAUGGCUUGAGAUUGGGAGAGGGAUGCGGAAUUCCAGGUGUAGCGGUGAAAUGCGCAGAUAUCAGGAGGAACACCGGUGGCGAAGGCGGGUCUCUGGGCCGGAACUGACGCUAAGGAGCGAAAGCGUGGGGAGCGAACAGG
rnacentral:rRNA from 1 species